GUCAAUUUUUUUUAUCAAUUUUGAGGUAUUAAAGUGAUCAUUGUGGGUUGUUUUCUUUCUUCGACAUGGGGAGAAGUCAAUAAGCUGCCCCCUUACAUCAUCCUCACUUACCCAGGAGAGUUUCUGUCAGAUGCACACAAUCACACACUCUUCAUACGCCACCCUCCUGAGAGCAAAGGCAUCUAACCCUCUCUGCACAGAAAUUUACAGUUGCCGGCUCUCAUGUACCCUUCUGAAGGUCUCCAGGAUGGGAGAGGGGAAAACAUCUGCCGACAGCCCAUCUUAGUUCAUGGCUCUUUGUUUAUUCGUAAUAAUCAAGCGUAGCUGAAGACAGAACAAGAAGCUCCUCUCUGUGCCGAUCGACUGGAGUCCACCCUCCUGCUCACCCAUCAACAUGCAAACAGACAGUUGCACAGUCUGUGGAUGCCACUUCCUUUGAUAUGGUAAAGCAAUAUUCUACUUCAUCUCU